rnacentral:misc_RNA from 1 species
GAUGAAGAACGUAGCGAAAUGCGAUAAGUAAUGUGAAUUGCAGAAUUCAGUGAAUCAUCGAAUCUUUGAACGCACAUUGCGCCCGCCAGUAUUCUGGCGGGCAUGCCUGUCCGAGCGCCAUUUCAACCCUCGAACCCCUCCGGGGGGUCGGCGUUGGGGACCUCGGGAGCCCCUAAGACGGGAUCCCGGCCCCGAAAUACAGUGGCGGUCUCGCCGCAGCAUCUCCUGCGCAGUAGUUUGCACAACUCGCACCGGGAGCGCGGCGCGUCCACGUCCGUAAAACACCCAACUUCUGAAAUGUUGACCUCGGAUCAGGUAGGAAUACCCGCUGAACUUAAGCAUAUCAAUAAGCGGAGGA